rnacentral:lncRNA from 1 species
CUUUUGAAUGCGGCAGAUACGGAAGUGUUUUAUUCUCAAAAAUACGCUGUGUUGUGGUGAUUGGAGCUACAUUUUUUGUUUAUGUAUUUUUCGUUUAGGACAGUACAAAACUGCGAUUUUCCAAACUGAACGGAGGGAUGUCCUUGAAAACGUACUGUUUAGAGUUAGUGUUUGAAGAGGUCAAGAGCGUUGUGACAAAAACAAUGAAUAAACAGACAGUUUAAUAUUAAAAUGUAAUGUGCUGCAUUCUUGACAGACAUAUGAUUAUUCAACUAGGAUAUGCUAUAAAAAGACUUGCACUCAAAUGAAUUUUAAUUUUGUUUAUGAAUCUUUUUAUUCAAACCGCAUUUAUUCAAACCGCAAAUGAAGAUUCGUUUGUGAACAUUAAUCGGUGAAUAUCAUUUUACGAUAGAAUGACAAAUUUAACCAGAUAAGAAUUGAAAAAAAAAACAAGAUGCUGACUCCAGAAAUAUCAGUGGCAAAAUCAGGAAGAACAACAGUAACACAUUGUAAACAUAAAUAUGCUCAUGUAAAGACCCAUGAAACAAUAACCAUAUGUACCUGAUGCCUUUGCAGAAGUCAGAGCACCAAGAGAAUCACAAUUCACGACGAAGCAAGAUACAGGGGACAAUCAUCAAAUCAUUCCGUCCCUUCGAGGAUUAAAUACAAAGCUGUCAAGGAGACCUACACCUGAUUCGUCAUUCCGCAAUGAAAGAGAAACUGUGAAAAAAGGUUUGUGAACAUUAAACAUGCAGUGUGUCGCAGAACAGUACGGCCAGAGCCUUCUUCAUUAAAGCGUGAAUAAUGAUCGGAAAUAGCUAUGCCCGAGAAUCUAACGACGUUUAUAAAUUACAUCUCCAUAGCAGUCAGGAUGUGAUAUACAUUGUUGCAAGUGUCAAAAUUUAAUUACGAAGUUAAAAAAUUUAGAAACGAUUAACAAAGCAUUAAAAAAAGGUAACCCUGCCGAAGAAGCAGUUAUAUUUACGAAGGUUAACUGCAGGCUCUAGAAAAUCUUAAAAGCUGUGAAAUAUAUGGCACAUCAGAUGUUGGACGGGGUACAUCUCUAUCAAGUUCUGAUGGGCCCUAUGUGCAGUCUAGUUGAACCAUAGGAGUAAAUAUGGAAGAAGGCUAUCCAAUGAACAUCCUCGCCAAGUUUCACCAACUUCAACGAAAUGGUUUCAGAUGAGAUUUCGUUAGAAGAAAUUGAAACGAAUGGACGGCAGACGGCCUGACGAAGGAAGCUAGAGAUGAGGGAUCACAAUAGCAGUACAUUUAAAUUCCAUCCGCAAAUGAAAUCUCUUUGAUGAAUAUUUAACAAACCCUCCCCUAAACAUUUUCUUUAUAUUGAUUUUUCUCAAGCUGGUUAGGGCGUGUGCGACUAAGGAAAACCAUGGCCCUCUUGUUGACUAAUAUUUAAUUUAUCAAAGAAUAUUUCCCAAAUAUAAUGACUUAUAUUAUAUCAGUCUCUUACAGGGGUUUGUCGUUCCACUUCUGCUUCAAAUAGAAGAAACUGAAAUCAAGAACAACUAUGUUAAAGAGGAUGAAUUUAUUUUGUUGAAUAUUUUUGUUAGUCCAGUGUGAAAAAAUUGUCAUAAUAAUAAUAAUAAUAAUAAAAACAUUAACAAAAUACUUUAAUAGUAUUAAGGACAGUAAUAUGAAUAAUAAUACAUUUGUAAGAGAUAAAAGUAAAAGUAAUAAUAAUAACAACACAAUUACAAUAACAUUAGCAACAAUAAUGCUCAUAAUAAACGAAAAGUACCGGUAGUUUGGAGUCGUAAUAAAAAUAAUGACAAUAAUUUAAAGGGGCUCGCCUGAAGAUUUUUGUCUUUUUUUAUUUAGAAAGUGCUUUCAUUAGUCAUAAUUGAAAAUAAAAAGUGAGCAAAGUGAUUCAAUGAGUGUUUGCAGUAUUUGCAUACAAAAAUACUUUGGUAGGCUGUAAAAUAAUUGGGAAAUUUCUCAUAAGCGUGCAAUAGAAAUGUUAAAUAGAACACAAUUAGCUGUUCUGCUUAUUAUAUCAUUCUCUUAUAUACACACUUAAAUAAUAUUGCGUCUUGAUGUUUUUGUAUUUAAUUUUUGUUGCUACUUAAUUAUGAUUUUUAUAUUCGACCGAUGACAUAUCCCUUAAAUAAAGAUUGUUUCAAAUUGUUAAAAAGAAAAAUUAUCAUCAUGACAACCUCACACUUGAACGUAGCCAUGUAGAUCGUAAAUAUAAUUCCUGUAUGAAUUGAAAAAAUUAUCCUAUUACACGUAAUUUUAAUGCGGUUUGUUCUCUAGCUGAAGAAGUCAUUAUUUAUUAACCAACAAAGUUAAGUCUUUGUUAGCCAAUAUUACAUUUCCUGAAGUAUCUUGAUUCGUGAACAAAAAAAAACGUUAGAUAAGAUAUUGUUAAAACAGAAAGAGAAAAUCCCUUUUGGAAGUCCCAGACGAAUUGAUAUAUUUUCAAAAAACAGAAUACCUGAAGCAGGUAUCAUCUUCAUAGUAUCCCUAAGAAAUUGAUAUGAGGUUACUAUAGUAUAUCUUUGGAUUAGAAAUGAUAUUUAUUAUAUAUAUAUGUUAUAUUUCAUAGGCUCUCUCACUACUUUGCAUUGAUGAUGAUAUCCUUCAGACCUACAUUAAACACGUCCUAACCUUAGUGUGAAAAUAAUUAAAAUAGAAUGCUGAAACAAUGAUUCUAUUGUUACAAUGUAUAUUACAUGUGUAUUUUUACUUGAAUAAUUAGUAUAUUUUAAAAGAUUUACGAAACGUUUGUCAUUCACUCCCCUAAAACAGUCUGACAGUGUCUGUUUAACAAACAGACUUCCGAUGUCUGUACGUGAGCUGUAAUAUAUUAAAUAAUGGGGCGGUUCCAUUAUUUAUCAAUAAUCUCAUUAUAUGACACAUAGGUUUAAUCCAUUUGUAUGCUAAGGUAAUUGUUACAAAAUGUUUCUGUAUGAAUGUAAGUUUGAUAAACUUCACACGUUUUAAUUCAACUAUGGUUAUUGUCUGAUAAGAAAUUAAUAAUGAAUUUAGUACCACGCAUGCAGUCAACGCUUUUGAUAUUUAUAUAAAGAUCCCGUAACAACUUAUUUCUCAAAAACAUAACUUGCCAUGAACUUGUUUCCAUAAAUUACAUGCAUAUAUGAUAGUUUUGGUACCGUUAUAUUGUUAUAUUGGAUGAAUUUUUUGGUUAUUGCCCUUUGAUGUUUUUUUUACCCUGAAACAUUCACAGCGUCUUCUCUCUUUAUAUAUUCUGGUAAGGUUUGGAUAAUCCCAAUGCUGGUCGAUUUUUUGUAAUUAUCAAACCUGAUCAGUGCGCCGACUCGCGUUGCACAAAAAAUCCUUCACGACAAUGAUUGUAACUCAUAUUAUCAAAACCUCCCCAUUCAUGUAUUUUAGUAUAAUUUUCUUUGUAUACAUGGACGUUUGCCUCUAGAAUACCCUGUCUUGUACAUGUAGGUAAAUACAGCGGGAGACAUCCGUUUCUAAACAAUCCGUUAAGUUAUUUAGUUAAGUUUGAGUCUAAAACGUUUCUCAGCCAUAAUUACAUCCAGGUGAAAAAUCUGUCGCAAAACUCAUAAACUACGCAUAACGAACAAUAAGAAUAUGAAGUGACUCAUUUUACUUCGAAAUUCAGUAAAUAAAACAUUAUUUCAUACAUGUUUACUUUUAUAUGAAGAUGUGUUUGUUUUCUUACCACAAGCAUUUAUCUUUGUAUACAAGAUUCGUAAAACGCUCUCUACGUGUUAACAGAAAACCGCUGAUAACGUGAAAACAUAGUAAUGCUGAGUCAGCAAUUGUUCACUUAAACUACGGUUUAUUUUCAAGUACUUUCACCUGUAGAUAAAAUAAGAAAAAAUGUACAGUUAUUCUGUUUAUUUAAUUUUUAGGCAACAACAAAGUAUGUACAUGUGGUGAAAGAAUAAAUGUUAUGUGUAAUCCGCGCACCAAAACACUGAAAACUUAUAUGAUUAAAGUACAGGAAAGUAAAAAUCAACAGUUAUAAUAUGUCAUUUUUAUUUUGCGAUUCCUCCCUGUAGUCAGUUGCAAUUUGCUUUGUUAUAUUCUUUAAUCAAUCUGAAUUUAAAGCGACGAAAUGGUGUCGCAACAUUUUGUUAAUAACUAGUGUAGCGUGGGAAACAAUUUUAACUUUCGGGCAUAAACUUUAUUUUAAAGAAAGCUUUCAGAAAAAAAAACCACAUAAUUCCCUGAAAUAAAUUCAAGUCAAUGUAGAUUUUUGAUAUGUCAUAAAAAGACAAGCUUUAUAACAGCUCAAAAUAUAUAAUGUUACAAAAUAUUUUAAUUGACAUAUCUAAAAUGAAAAAAAAAAAAUAACAACAUUAGGGGUAUCAAAUUAGCUCCUCCUAUAUUAACGGACUAGUUUUUACAUCAGUUUCCUUCCAGAUUGAAUUUUAUUACAUAGUCCAGUUUUAGUUCUGCAUGGCUUUUUUCUAAACAGAUUAUUUAAUUACCUAUGCCUGUCUCCACUUUCAUCACACAGACAGUAGUACUUAAUGACGUAAUUGUGUAAUGUUCAUCAUGACAUCACAAUUUUUACAUCAUCAUACAUGGAUCGAAUCUUGGAAAGGAUUAUAAUACACUGGACACUAUACUUAUUCUUGAUUUAUGCCUAAUAUAAUAAGGCAUAUUUUUAUUAUGUAGAAACAAAGGUAAUUGUUUUAAUUAUAAUUCUCGGAACAGUGUAAAUUUAGUGAUUUUAAAAUCUUUAAAUUCUCUGUGACUGUGUCUGGUCUGGAGCUGGAAGUGAAAUUUUGAGUGUUAUGUGAUGUAGUUUCCCGAGUCAAAUGUUUAAAAGUGUGGAAAUAAAGCAUGUUUUAAUUUAUUCGAGAAUAUGUUUUUUUUUAUUUUUACGCUGGUAAGAGUCUAAUUUAUUGUUAGUCUUUAUAGGAAUGUUCAGGACCAGAUAAGUGUUCAUUCAUUAAAAGGACAAUUCAAGGAAUUAGCGCCAAUGAUACGUUCCACAGAAUAAUGUAAGAAUAUAAGUAAUAUCGAUACAAAUUAAAAAGAAAAAUAUAAUGGCCUAAACUGAAUUCGAACCCAGGUAACGUGCGUAUUCAUGAAUCAGAGAGCUUACCAUUACGCCACCAUGUCAUUGAAUUACUGUGAUAGGUUAUUUUAAUUAAUGUAGAUCUAGAUAUUUUCAGGACACAAAAUAUCGCGUAAAGUAACAAAAACGUCCGAACAUAUUGACGAAGGUUAAAGAGUACCAGAUCAAUACUUACGGACAAUAAUAUGUUGUAGGGGUUUGUUGAUAUUAUAAAAUAUUAAAUAACUUCUUUCAACUCAAUUUUUGGUAUGGAUUUGAUAAGAAAGAGCAUGUGAUUCUCCUUCACUCAGAAUUUUUCUUGAGUUUUAGACUCUUAGCUAGUCUUGGAUUUUUAAUUUAUUAAAAUACAAAAGAAAGUUCAGUAUAGGCUCUUUCAAAGUGUUGAAUGUAGGCUGAACUUACAAUUCAUUUACCUGUGGAGACUUUAAUUGGGGAAGUCCCAAAAUCAGUGAAUUUCGGUUAUGUCGUGUUGGGCGACCUGAGGUUUUCCACUUUUUUGUUUUGUCCAUUUUGCUUCAGAUAUUUCUAGAAGGUCAUUUUGUAGAUAUCAAAUAUAUCUACUUUUACACGAAGAGCAGGAAAAACACAAAUACAUAUAUAGUAAAUUAGUGCACUUAACUAUCGUUUUACACCAAAAAGAAAAAACUGUAAAGACAAAUCUGAAUUUUUUAGGUGUCAUCUCUAAAAGGUGGUUAUAUACCUUCUUCAUGUGUAUGUUGGAUUUACUUAAAUACAUUUUGUAAUUACUUCUCUCAAAUUUGAAAGUGUAUAAACUGAAUGUUCCCAUUGAUUUCAACAUAAUUUCUAGUUUACAUUUCCAAUUGAUAGAUAAUUUCAAUAAUCUUGAGCAAAAAAGAAAAACAAUAAAAAAAAACAAGUUUUAAAACUGCAUAUAGCGUCCGAAUUCAAUAUUUCGAGAGUAUCUUCUUUGCGGAAGACAGACAAAAGGGAGGUAAUAAUAAUUUCACAAAUUUCAGUUAAAAUAUAAUAGCUAAUGUAAAUCUUAGACAAGUGUAAAUCUAAACGCUGUCUUGGUUGGACAGCAAGGAUAGAAAAAUCAAUUUUUAAAAAUACUUCCAUUGAAAAACAAAUAUACCUUAAAGGCACUGACCUCCAGAUUUGGCUAAAAUAAUCUUUCUUUUAAAUUGAAGUUUGGCCAUAUUAUGAACAUUAGAAUAUGAGUUUUUGUUUCUAAAAUAUUUUAAAAAUUCAAAAUCAAGAAAAAAAGAUGACCGCGUCGGGAAUCGAACCCCGGACUGCCGCGGCAAUAAAGAUAUUUUCCGAUCGUUGUAACCGAUAGCGCUAUAGCUGAAGUAGUGAAUAACUUCAAAAUAUAGAUAUUUAUAAUCGAGACAGUUUACCUGGAGUAAAUGUGUGACAAACGCUUUUCGAUUUUCAUCGUAAAAAGUAGCAAAAAGAGCAAAUUCUCACGAGUUUCUGUAACAUAAAGUUUGUCAGUAAUUAAGUUUUAAAGCCUUCUUAAGAAAUAUAGCAUUUAUUUUCAGAUAUCAAAAAAAUUAUAACUGUUUUGUUGUCGAACGAUCUGGAGGCCAGUCCCUUUAAGCGCUCAGUGAACAUAAAUAAGAGUAAAUAAUCAGACGUUAAAGUUUCGAACAAAUCCCUACCUGAUCAAAAUCAGACUUAACACCCUUAACCAUAUCAAAAGCUGCAUCUAAUGACCAGUUUUCACACACAGCUUAAAUGUGCCGUAUAACUUGCAUUCACUUACAUGAAGCCACACUAUCAGGAUUGAUACUAUUACUCUUUGUUACUAUUUAUACUUAUUAUCAUUUAUAAUAAUAAUAAUAGUAAUAAUAUUAUUAUUAUUAUUAUUAUUAUAAUUAUUAAAGGUCCAUUUCUAAAACCCGAACGAGUAUUAUAUGAAAACCAG